ensembl:lncRNA
UACCACGGGAUACAAAUUAAAAAUCGCUGUUUCAAAGAUCAUACUUGAAAAAAACAAAAAAAACAGACGGGAUCAAGAAACAAAGAAUGCCCUCUCUUAGACUCACUUCAUUUGUUAUACCUACCACAAAAAAAGUGUAUUUAUUAAUAACAUUUUUUUUUGCUUGGCAUUGUACAUGUAGAUGUGGAAAAUAAGUAUGAAGUUGAAUAGAAAUGUUAACGCAACUGUAAAAGUGCCGUAAAAAAAUGUUUCCACACACACAGCCUCCUCCUCUGUGGAGGAAAACAAAUGUCUCUGUACACUGGACUAUUUCUGUAACUUCAGUAUUCACAACAAGUAGGCUGUGUCUCAAAACCAAGCAUGCUGCCUACUUAGACAGCAUGUCUGGGCAUUCAAAUACAUCCAUAAUGCCCAUAAAUGUUGUCUUGGUAGCCAUCUCACUAGAUUUUAAGACGCAACCUUAAAUAUACUCGCUUCACUUGUCUGUUUCUGAUGCAGGAAGCAUAUAUAUUUAUAUUUAAGGGUCUCUUUCUUUCUUUACUUUCACAUCCCCAGCUAAAAUGGUUGCUAUCUCGCCUUGCAUGAAAGCCCAAGGCACGUUUGACCCUACCAGGGGACAUUUCUCUCCGCUGGGGCAGUACACCUCUCCUGUGGCCCCCUGCGCUUUGAUGCUCUCCCGGGAACACGGGAAGCAGAAUUUGUGGUUUGGAACUGACGGGCACUGGACGAAGUGUGUGUCUUCUAAACGUUCGUGGCAGAUAGUACAACACAAAGGUCCGUUAUUUGCCAUGGGUGAGUCUGGAAUGUUCUGAGGGUGCACCUGAUCCAUGCCCUGAUGCGAACCCGAUUGAGAAGGUGUCCCCGUCAGACUGAUCUCCCCGUUCCGGGAGGCCAAACGCCGCUGUCCUGACACCGAGGCAGGGGAGACAGGACUGCUACUGUUGUGUCGGGUAGAUGUGGUGGAGUGCACUGAGUUGCUGUCCUUUGGUGAGUGCGCGUUACCCAAAGUGUCUGCGACUGACAUGAGUGCAGCCAUGGGGGACUGUCCGUUCUGGGGGGCUGAUUCAGGUGGGGUGGCUCGACUGGAGUGCACCGACCCCAGGGGUGGAGGUCCACCGUGAGAGGCUGCGAAUGAGCUGGACGCCAUGGUCAGUUUGAGCGCCUCGCUUUGACUCGCCAUCCACUGCUGUCUCUGCUGCUCUCCCUCUGCCGAGUCCGGUUCUGGGGAGGCUUUGCGUUUGCGCAUACCAGUCCUGAGCGCGCUGCCCGACGCCACGGCCCGGGGCAUGUUGACCAGCGCUGAAGGCAGCAGAGGGCAGCUGGCAUCGAUGUAAGGCUGGGGCAGCAUUUCACCCCCGAGCCCCUCCUUAAAGAAACGCACAGACUCCGGGAGUAAAUCGCCCAAGAGCCUCCAGUCACCAGAGCCGUGCUUUUUCUCAUAUUCCAGAUAUUUGAAGCCAGAGGAAAGCCCUCUGCCAAAGUCUUUCAUGCAGUCCUGGUACAUCUGUUUAGCCACACCAGACGCACUGGAAAACACAUUACCAGAUCCACUGGGAUACUCAAUAAAGAUUUUCAGUUCAUAGUCCAUGCCGUGCUUUGAAAUAGCAUCGAAAGCAAACACCCUACCUAGAAGGGAAUGAUCUUUCUUGAACCUCACAUCAAACGGAGUGCAAUUGGAAAGUGUGAGCAGUGUGUCCCUCACUAUCUUGGAUCUCUUUCUUGGUCCGUGCUGGACACAGAACCGGGUCUUUUACCUUGCUCGGAGAGCGCGAGCGCCGGUCCGAUGCUGGCCGGGGCUGGAGGGGCUCGCGCAGACAAGCUGUGCUGGGCUAUACUCGCCGCUGACGGUGGGCCGUUCAGGAGAGUCUGCGGGAGGAGGUUCGGCGGCACGCUCAUCUGUCCUGACACCGCCACCAGCCCGUGAUUCCGACGCGAGUUAGGGCUCUGUCGGUUCAACUCGGGGGGUCCGUCGUCUGAUUUGGGGAAGCCGUUCGGUCCGCCGAGUCCGUUCGGAAGCCUGUGCGCGCCAAUGCUGGAAUAAUCAAAGCGCGAUCUCUCGGUUCCGAGCGCGUAUCGGUCCAAACCGGGCUGCUGUUGUUGUUGUUGUUGCUGCUGCUGCUGCUGUUUGGACGAGCCGUCCAUAUGGUUCAUCUGCACCGACUCCUUGGAUGGAAUGCCCGCUUGUGCUUUCACCGCAGACGGCGGCGCGGGACCCGGGGAUCUCCCUUCCUGGAAGCCAUGAGCCCGCUUCAGAUGGCGCGCGGUCUCGAUAACAAACUCGAUCCGAUCCGCGCCCUCGUAGUUCACGCAACCCCUGCACACGGGCUCCGUAAAAUCCCAAAUCAUCGCCCACGGCAUGCGCGGCAGGUCGCACAGAUAACACGACUGUCUCCUCGACGAGGAGACCUGCGCCGAAGACAUGUUGAGCUGCUCCUCUCGGAUCUGUUAUACGGUUACUAGGAGGCGAAUGCGCCUCUUCUGCUUCUCGGAAUGCCACCUGGCUGGGCCGGUGACGUCAGCACCACGUUCCGCAGUUCCUUUUUCUGUUACAAAUGACAAGCCACUUGUUGCCACGCGAGUGCGCAUGCGCUAACCACUCCCUAACAAAUCUUCUGAAUGGACCGAGAAACGCGCACCGCCACCAUGUAUGGCAAGCCGCUUAAACAUUUAAGAUUCAAAACAUACUUGUAUCUAUUUUUAUGUUACUAUCACUUUUAGGUAAAUCCAAGUUAUCCAAGCAUCUAUUUAGUAGUUAUUCCUUAUACUAUUUAUUUAUUUGCUUGUAAUCACUAUCGCAAUAUGGCAAGUAUCCAUUACAUUUUCUACUAGUAACAAAUUGCAUUUUUUUGUGUAAUUGGUAUCUAUAGUACUGGAAUGUAUCUAGGAAAUUAUCACUAAAAACUAAUGAAUACUUAAUAGUAAAUCUCGAAUAGACACCAUGAAGACAUACAUGAAUACCUGAAAACCAGAUUCCAUACGUCAAUUCUAUAUCUUGUAUGACAAUUCAAUUAAAAAAAAAUAAUAAUAAAUAAAUUCUUAGCAGUAAAAAUUAUUACUUGUCAAUACUGGGAUAAUGGCUAGUAACAAAAGUUAUAGGUAUUAGUAUCUAAUGAAUGAAUGUGAUAAAUCAUUAUAAAUUACAAAUUCAAUAGAUACCCACCACUACUGUAAUGAAUCCUAGAAUCAAAUGUAGUUACUAGGGAAAUUGAAAUGGGAUACUAGUCACUAUUAGAUCACAUACUAUUCAUUAUAAAUAAGUACUAUUUAUUUAUAAAUAUGCUUAUAAAAAUAAUACAAAAAAUAAAUGUUCAAGCUACUUGCCAUAACAUGUUGGCCAGUUUGCUCUCAGAAUACAAGAGCCAGAGAUGUGGGUGGAAAAUCUGAGGUAUUCAUGUUUCUUCCAGAGCGUCUGUUCUUACUGCUUCUAAAAUGUCCAUACUCUUGAUAUUCUGCAGUACUAUUAAUAAUGCAAAAUCAUGUUAUAGCGAUGCAUACACUAGCAAAAUGUGUGUGUGAUUUAAACAAAAAAUAUGCAUACUGUGGGAAUAUUUUAAACAAAAGACAUUCUUAGUCAUUUGAAAUAACAUUUAUUCCCCAUGAUAUGAAGACUACCUUACUGCUGAUGUUCUGAUUUCAUUG